AACCGCCGUAUACGAGACCCGUACGUACGGUAGUGCGAGAGGCGCACCGUGGGCUUUAACGCUCACGGCCGUCUACUCGAU
rnacentral:misc_RNA from 1 species